GGCGAACGGGUGAGUAACACGUGAGUAACCUGCCCUUGACUUUGGGAUAACUUCAGGAAACUGGGGCUAAUACCGGAUAGGAGCUCCUGCUGCAUGGUGGGGGUUGGAAAGUUUUUCGGUGUAGGAUGAGCUCGCGGCCUAUCAGCUUGUUGUGGGGUAAUGACCUACCAAGGCGGCGACGGGUAGCCGGCCUGAGAGGGUGGACGGCCACAUUGGGACUGAGAUACGGCCCAG
rnacentral:rRNA from 1 species